GAUGUCAUUUCAUCACGGCCUGCCGCUAAAGACGUCACAUCAGUCCUGCCUUAGAGUCUCCAAAGAAGCAUUUUUUUUUUUUUUUGUUGGCGAGGGCAAGUAAUCUCUGUACCUUUAUUAUCGGGUGAUUCCUUUUACUAGACCGAACCUGUUUUUCAGAAUACAAAUAUUUUUUCUUUAAAGCAUCAAAAAUGGAUUCUUGUAUGUAACAUUUUAAGACAUACAUGAAGGCCGCUUACAUGAAAGCGGCCUUCUUUUGCCGUGCAUAUGAUGAGGACAGCCAGGGUAACUGGAUGUGUGAAUAUAUUUAUGUGAAUAUAUUUAUGUGUGUGUGUGUGUGUGUGUGUGUGUGUGUGUGUGUGUUUCACUAAAGUAUUAUAAUAAUAAAUUAUUUUGUGUUUAUAGUAUAUCCUUCUCAGACCGUAAUCUGGCCAGGGAGCAGACUGGUUGAAGCAGGUGACGAUGCAAUACUAGACAGCGUUUUGGAUUACGAGAACGAGAGUGGACUUCUAUCUCAAUCUGAAAUGAAUACAACAGACAGGCCCGAGACACCUCCGACUAACGAGUGCAGACCAGAACCCGCUCACAAGGUGAAGAGAGUGUGAAACUGUGUGUUGUAAUGAUGAAUGA